CAGAUAUUUGUGCCCAGGGCACACCUGAAGGGACUCUGGACAGCAUGUUUACCAAAAUGCUGAUGGAUUUUUCUGAGCACGUUAAAAUCCUCAAUAGAAGGAAACAGGAGAGGAUGACACAGCAAGAGGAAAGAUUCCACAUUGAGGAGAUCCACAAAGAAUGAGGCAAGGUAGGAGACUUCCAAGUGGAGUGUGGUGUCAUCCUCCUUGAUUUAUUCCAGGAACACGUUAGAAAAGCCCUAUGGCCCCCACCUUUAGGCACUCUUAGCUGCUCAAGUUACCACAAAAAGAUGCCAGCUGGGAAACAGGGAAGCCCGUAGACUCGGCAGUAAAGGUUUUGCAUUUGGGGAAAAAAAAAAAAAAACAAAACAGCAGACAGACCAUACGACACACAAACCAGAGACAAUGGCAGGAGAGUGUCCUGUACAGAAAGAUGUGGCGGUCCGUAAAGACUUAGAACUGAAAAUGGCCACAGCAUUUACUUUGUGCUUCUCUGCAGUUUUGGCAGAGCCAGUGUCGAUGUCACUCUUGGUUGUGACACCUACUUCUGGAUCUGCAAAAAGCCCCAGAAGGGAUGGAGGUUUAUUCUGAUUUGAGUAGACUGUUUGGAGGUCAAAAACAAAACAAAAAAACCCUCCCCUCAUACUUCUGACAACUUAAACUCUUUGUCCCAGUGAGAUCCCAAAUUACAUGCACAGGCUGUCCCACAUGCCUCCGGUGAUACCCAAAAGGAACUUGAAGAACCAUCCCUUAUAACUUGAUGAAGACUCCUAAAAGCCUUGACUCAGACGUAUUCAUCACUCAUCGAACAACUAUGGAUGGCUGGGGGCACAACUAGAUGGACGUACUUUACAUUGUGCCUCAUGCCUCACAGAUCCCAGCAAGUGGACUGUGUACAGGGCAUUUCUGCUGAAGCGCUAUGUCUGAUUUUCUGCAUACGGCCCCAUUCCUUCUCUACAAGAGACGCCUGUACCAACCCAUGGUGGGGGAAAAGACGAAGAUGCGAUCCUGAGCAACUUGAGGAAUGUGGUAAUGGCAGCAGACACAUUCCCCUUGCAUCACAAUGGUCUGUGGUACCGCCUCUGCACCUUGGCCCAAGACCUAACAGCAACAAAAUAAGGUUCAUCUCCUAGCCAGAAUCAAGAAAGGAAGACACAGCAGCCACACUGUCCCCACCGAGGUGAGGUCUGGAAGAUCCGGAUCACCCAGGCCGGGAGACCUCUGUUUGGAGUGUGCAGUCAUCCUCCUCUCAUUAUUUCCUGAAACUCACGGAAAAACCUUAAGACCACACGAUGAUCACACACAGGAACAGGCUGCACAGCAGAAAUUGGACUGCGGCACAUCACAACGUGCUCCUUACCUCUCCUUGGAGGGUUCUUGCAGUGAUUGGUUUCUGCCUCGUGUAUCCCUCAGGCAGCCUCUUUGGUUCCAUCCUGUCCAGUCUUGGAUACAGAAAAAUAAUGGACUUCUAUAAGAGUUGCAACACCACGUCGUCUACUAGACAACUAACAGUGCAGGCGUCACCCCUGGAAACACCCAUAAAAACGCAAGUCAAAUGACCACACCUGUAUUUCAAGUAAGCGACCUCCCUGCCCUGCUCUGCCAUCUCCCUGUCCCAGAUCUGAGUCUUGAUCUGGGGGAGAAAAAAACACAUCCACCUUCAGGCGGAAGGUGGUGCCACACUGUGCACCAAAGAAAGAGGAGGAAACAAGAAAACACUUACCUAGUUGUCCUGAGCAUUCUUCUCAUGAACUGCAAGCGGAAAAAGCCAACAAUGAAAAGCCCGUGGUUAGGGAUUCGAAGGGCCACUACACUCACCGGCGUGAGGUGCUAAGGGUUCAGUAUGUCAGGCAGAACUCAGGUUACCUGGUAUCUAAAGGUGAGCUCUGCCUGCUGCAGCUCUUCCCGUGUUUGUUCAAUUUGUUGCCUGUGAGUUACAAUUGCUCUUGUCAGAUAAGGCCCAAUAUUGGGUAUGAUUUUAAAUAAGCUGCCCACGUUCCCAACAACCUCAUAUCUGUCCCCUGGUACAAUUUAUUCUUACACAUGAAACACUUUGCCCAUGAUUAUCAAUGUACAGCAGGAUCAGAGCUAUUGUUACAUCCUUUCCUUACUCAUUAUCCCAUGCCUGUAGGGUUCAGAGUUCAUAGAAUUCCUUCCCAUUUUCAAUCUUUCUCUAACUCAUCAUGUGACAAGUGUCUUUUAUCAUAAAGAUCUAUUCUUCUAUAACUUAUAUCCUCACCAUGUUUCCCAGGGUUGCAAAGACGAGGGCCAUGAAAUGGCACUACCAGGUUGAUGGAUAUGAUUCAUUGUACGACACACUGCUUUCCUACAGAUUGUGACAAUUGACACCACCCCCGAGGAAUGUUAGCAUGGACAACGUUUCCACACAGUCUGGUCACUACUUGAGAUCUGCAAAUGUUUAGAAACUUAAUUAUUUUAUUCUUUCUAAAACUUACCUUUUUUAUCUGUUAAUACUCUAUGCAUAUGUUGACUUUAAACUUUUCAAAAAGAUUAAAAAC